rnacentral:rRNA from 1 species
UGAGGAAUAUUGGUCAAUGGGCGAGAGCCUGAACCAGCCACGUCGCGUGAAGGAAGACUGACCUUACGGUUUGUAAACUUCUUUUGUAGAGGGGUAAUGGCAGAUACGUGUAUUUGCGUGAAAGUACUCUACGAAUAAGCAUCGGCUAACUCCGUGCCAGCAGCCGCGGUAAUACGGGGGAUGCGAGCGUUAUCCGGAAUUAUUGUGUUUAAAGGGUGCGCAGGUGGCUAAUCAGGUCAGUGGUGAAAAGCUAUGGCUCAACCAUGGUCUUGCCAUUGAAACCGUAUAGCUAGAGAGGAGACGAGGUAGGCGGAAUGUGUGGUGUAGCGGUGAAAUGCAUAGAUAUCACACAGAACUCCGAUUGCGAAGGCAGCUUACCAGGCUUUAUCUGACACUUAGGCACGACAGCGUGGGGAUCAAACAGG